AGCAGGGAGCCCGAUGUGGGACUCUAUCCCGGGACUCCAGGAUCAUGACCUGAGCCGAAGGCAGUCGCUUAACCAACUGAGCCACCCAGGCGCCCCUGGAUGAGCAGGUCUUAAGUGCUAAGUCCACGCCACGUUCCAGUCUCCCUUAGCCUUUGGAUCCCUUCCUCUGUCUCUGAGUCUCAGGGCUAUUCUCUGAUGCAGAGAACUCAUGGGUGUGUCAAAAUAAACAAAUACAGAUGCAAAACUUAGCAGUGAACUGGUAAGCUGAGUGGGGGAGGAUUUGAAGAUACUUUCCUCAGAGAGGUGUCCCAGUGCAUGGAACCCCAGGGGAGGGAGAGACUAUUCCACAAAGAGUCUCAGAUUCUCCUGGAGUGCCCGAGGGGAGUGAGCCAGGUGAGGAAAUACCCCUGGAUGUGCACCCUCUGGUCAGGCCUGACAUGGUCAGUCUGGAGGGUCUCCUCUCUUGGGGUGUGUGUGUUGCAUGGGAAUGUCCUGUGCCUGGCCGAGAGUGUGAGGUACUUCGUGCUGAGGCUUUUGAUUUGAAGGGAACUCAGGCCAGGUGACUGAGAAGCCAAUGCAAGGAGGUAGGGGACGGAGGAUGUGCGUGUCCUUGGAGUCCUCAUUCCCAGCUGCUCCCUGGGCUCAUAUGACAGAGUUAGGGGAAGUUUUGGAUGUCUGGGGUUGCCUGGGUCAAAGGCCUAUGGAAAAGCCAUCCUCUUUAGCUGAGGGCAAGAGAAUGUCAUGGAAUGGGGGAUGAGGGAUGAGGAUGGGAGGCGAGGACUCUCACAUUGGAGGACUGUGGGGAGAUGGACUGGUGAGCCAGAAGCAGCCCCAGGGCCCAAGUCAUGGGGAGGGGAUGGUUCCACACAUAGUGGGCAGCUUAGGCAGGACGUGCAGAACAAGAUGCCCCCACUCUCCCUGUUGGCACUGCGGGAAGUGACUGUAAGUCCAUGACUCUGAAGGACUGGAUCACCUUUCUUAACUGUCCCUGCCCUCCCUGUCGUGGAAUUAUACACCCAUACCCUUUGUCUGCGACCUUGCAGUUCUUCCCACUGGAAGAGGAGCAUGUCCCCCCACCCCCACCCCCAUUCCUUCAUUCAUCUCAAGCUUAGCUGUAUGCUUGCUGAGGCUAAUGGACUGUGGGAGGAGAGAUCUGGGCCGGUUUGGGGCGACGCCAUAGGAGGCCCAGCACGUUGUCCUCACUAUCUCCACAUCAGCUACAGGAAGAGUGUCUACCGGUGACCCCCUUUCCUCUGGUGCAUUUAGGAAACCUGCUACACAUCACGGCCAUCUGCAGUCUGAGGUCAGAGCCGUGAGUCUGGUUCUCUGGUUCGAGGGAGCCGUCCUCCCUCAGGCCCAGGUGUUUUCAGGAUGCUCUGACCCCAGCAGGGCUUCUGCUCACCAGCCCUGCCUGUGGCUCUGCCCCUGGGUGUGGCCCAGGGAGAGCAUCUGGAACAGGGCUGAGGCCCAGGGGUUUGGAGUUCAGGUGAUGAACCCAGACAGCCUUGCCCCACUCCUGAUGAAAUUGAUGUUUUUAAGGAUCCUCCAGUAACUUGGUGCUUGCUGCAGGUCGUAGUGGCCUUCAGCAGGCCAAGAGCUCCCCUCCUGGAAUAGUUUGCCAUUGGUUUCCCUAUUGCCCCAAUCUGAGUGGGUGUGGAACCUCAUCAAAGGACAUUUUGCUUCUCUUCUCGCCGUUAGUAAUGAUUUUCUGGUUAAUGUCUUAAUGUGGUAGAAGGCAAUGGUUGAUUUUGAAUGCUAAAUCGACCUUGCAAUUUGGGCAAGAAAUUCAGCUUGGUAAUUCCUGAUCCAUUUCGGUAGCAUUUCAUUUGGGGAUUUUUCAUCCCUGGUCAUGAGAAAGGCUACACCUUUACUUCCUCAUUCUUUCCUGGUCUCGUUUUGACGUGAAGGUUAUACUGCCACAUAAAAUGAGUUUGUGAGUGUUCCGUAUUUGUCCUGUUCUCUGGAAGAAUUGUUGAAGUUUGGAAUGAGCUGGUCUUUGAUUGUUUUGUGGAUGUUGCUUUUUUGUGUGACCUGAAGAGAUUUUAUACUUUUUUUGUUAAGUAACAUGAACAUUGCAAUAAAUUUCUGCAUAGGUGUGUGCCUAUGAAACCAUUGCCCAGCUCAAAGUAGAGAACGUUCCCCACACCAGGAAAUGCUCUCAUGCCCCUCCUCGCCCUUAGGACCCUCACCAUCACCUCCGGUCUGACCUCUACCGCCAGAGAUUGGUAGAAUCAAUUUGUUCCCUUCUGCAUUUGGCUGCUCUCCUUCAAGUCUGUGCUGUGGGAUUUAUCCACGUUGUUGUGUAGCCUCAAUUCACUCCUUUUUCAUGUUGCUUAAUAUUGUUUGAAUACAUCACAGUCUUUGCCCAUUGUACCGUUGGACAUUUGGAUUCCUCUACUCUUUGGCUCUUCUGAAUAAUACUGAUAUGAAUAUUCUUAUGCAUGUCUGUUGCAGUUCUAAUGUAUCUAACUCAUUUCCUCGGGCGUAGAUACCAUUGUAUUUGCUGGAACAUCUUCUAAAAUAUAUAGAAAUUUUAGAUUCUCCUGCCAGAUAGUUGAACCAAUCUUUAACCCCACCCGCAGUGUUUACACUUUCUGAUGUUCCAACUCUUGGUAUUGUCAGUCUUUUAAUUUCAGCUAUUCUCGUGUGGCUGACAUGAUAGUUCAUAAGGGUUCUACUGUGUGCUUCCCAAAUAAACAGUAAAGCAAAUGCAGCUUUUCAUAUGCUUGUUGGCUAUUUUCACAUGUUCUACUGUUCAGUGUCUCUUAGAGUUAUUAGCCAUCUUAAACAAUUGGAUUGUCAGUCUUUUUCUUAUUGCUUUUGGAAGAUUCUGUAAUGCACUUUGGACAUGGCUUCAUCCUGUAGAUACACACACACACACACACACAUAUGUAACUUGCAUAUGUAUGAAAGAGAGAGGGAGAGAGAAUUGGGUGUCUUCUGAAGACCAGAAAUUCUAAUUUAAUAAAUUUAAAUAGAUUUCUAAAAGAUUGCAUGGUGUGAGUUAGGGUUCCUAUUUUUCCUCCAUAGAGAUAUUCAUAUUCAUUUUAUUUCAUUGUUUUUAAAGAUUUUAUUUAUUUAUUUGUCAGAGAGAGAGAGAGCCCAAGCAGGGGGAGCGGCAGGCAAAGGGAGAAGCAGGCUCCCCACCAUGCAGGGAGCCCGAGGCGGGGCUCGAUCCCAGGACCCCGGGAUCAUGACCUGAGCCGAAGACAGAUGCUUAACCAACUGAGCCGCCCAGACGCCCCCCUUCAUAUUCAUUCUAAAGCCGUCUGUAUUUUCUGUGUGUGUGCACGUGUGUGUAUGUGUGUGUGUAAAAACACUUUAACUAUUAACUAAAUUUCCUUUAAUAGUUAUAGCACAGGUCAGAUUUCCUAUAUCUUCAUGAGUUAGUUUAUGUUAUUUCUUUUUUUUUUUUUUAAAGAUUUUAUUUAUUUAUUCAUGAGAGACAGAGAGAAACAGAGGGAGAAGUAGGCUCCCAAGGAGCGGGAAGCCCAAUGCGGGACUCGAUCCCAGGACCCUGGGAUCAUGACCUGAGCCAAAGGCAGAUGCCCAACCAUCUGAGCCACCCAGGCGCCCAGCUUAUGUUAUUUCUAAUUUUACUAGGAACAUUGUCAGUUUUGUCUAAAUUGUGAGUUAUGGCCAUGAAGAUUUUUUAUUAUUAUUUUUUUAUUAUUAUUUUUUAAAGAUUUUAUUUAUUUUUUUUUUUAAAAGAUUUUGUUUAUUUUUUUGACAGAGAGAGACAUAGCGAGAGCAGGAACACAAGCAGGGGGAGUGGGAGAGGGAGAAGCAGGCUUCCCGCAGAGCAGGGAGCCCGAUGUGGGACUCGAUCCCAGGACCCUGGGAUCAUGACCUGAGCCGAAGGCAGACGCUCAACGACUGAGCCACCCAGGCGCCCAGAUUUUAUUUAUUUAUUUGACAGAGAGAGACACAGUGAGAGAGGGAACACAAGCAGAGGGAGUAGGAGAGGGAGAAGCAGGCUUCCCGUGGAGCAGGGAGCCUGAUGCGGGGCUCGAUCCCAGGACCCGGGGAUCAUGACCUGAGCCGAAGGCAGACACUUAACGACUGAGCCACCCAGGCGCCCCAAUCUUUAUGGGGCUCGAACUCAUGUCCCCAAGACCAAGAGUCACAUGCUCUUCUGACUGAGCCACCCAGGCGCCCCAGCCAUGAAGAUUUUUUAGACUCUUCAAUCUCUGCUGCAGCUUUAGCGAUGGCCACUAUUUCCUGUGACUAAUGUAGCUUAUUUGUGCUUCCUCUAUUGUUUUGCUGAUGAACUUUUCCAGAGGUGUUAAAAAUUGAGAAACCUUUUCAAAAAAAGGAAUUUUGGGGUGUGUGGAUCUUCUUGAUUCUGUAUCUGUCUUCUAGCUUAUUAUUUUUUUCUCUGAAGUUUAUGGUCACUUUCUUCCUUCCCUUUGUUUUAUCCCAACUCCUUUAGCUGGAUGAUGAACUCAUUUGUAAUCAGCCUUUUCCAGUAUCAGCAUUUAUGGCAAUGAAUUCCCUUGGGAGCACCACUUUAGCUGUAUCCCAUAAGUUUUGCUAGAAGUAUUAUUUUUAACCAAGUACCAAAUAUUUAAAACAUCCAGGCAGAGCCGUGUGGCAGUCUCUCAUGCACAGAGGAAUAACUCCCCUGGGCCCAGCUUCUCUCCAGGGUGCACUGCCCCUGCAGGGCCUGAGCCCCCAGGGUCUCCAGGGCAACUAGGAUGGGACCCUUGGCAGAUGGAAAUGUGGCAGUACCCUGGCAACCCAGGGUCAGCGCCUCCCGUAAAACAUGGGGGAGCCAGAGCCCCAGCCCCCCUUUCCCUGUCCUGGAGAUAAGAAAUGUUUUCUUAUGUGUCUCUCAGACACAUGUCCAAAGGACUUGGCUCCUCCAAAUUUACAUCCUAAGGGGGUCCAGCCAUAUCAGGGAUGGAGAAGGACAUAGUGAGUGGCCUGAGCAAUGCAGGGGCCUCCGCUUGGCCAGUGUCCCCAGGACAUGCCUUUGGGAGGGAGAACCUGCAGGGCCCAGAUGGACCCCAUGUAGCCCCUUUCCCUCCAACCUCCCUCUCCCCUUUCUUUGAUCCUGUGUAUUUCUUGGACCCAGGUCUUGUCCCCAGGCUUCUCUGGGGACACUGACAUGACAAAGUUGUGGAGAGAAGGGAUGGAGCUUAUUCCAUUUAUAAUAGCAUCAAAAAGAAUAAAAUGCUUAGAAAUAAACUUAACCUGGGAGGUGAAAGAUGUAUACACUGAAAGCUACCAGGUGUUCGGAAGGAAAUUAAAGAAGACCCAAAUAAGGAGAAAGACAUCCAUGUUCAUGGAUUGCAAGGCUUAAUAUUAAGAUGUCAACGUUACCCCAAACUAUGUACAUAUUUGAUAUAAUCCCUAUGAAAAAUGCCAGUGACUUUUUUGCAUAAAUAGGAAAAUCCAUCCUAAAAUUCGUAUGGAAUCCCAAAUAGUUAAGACAAUCUUUAAAAAAGAACAAAAUUGGAGGUCUCGUGCUUCCCACUUUCAAAACUUACUACAGAGCUAAAGGAAUCAAAAGAGUAUGGUGCUGGCAUAAAGACAUAUAGAUACCAUGGAAUACAAUAGAGAGCCCAGAUGAAAAGCCCCAAUUAUUUGAUGAAAUUAUUUUAGACAAGGGUGCCACGACCUUUUAAUGGAAAAAGGACCAUCUUUUCGACAAAUGGUGUUGGAAAACUGGAUAUCCAGAUGCAAAAAAAUGAAGGUGGACCACUGCCUUAUACCACCUACAGAAAUUAACUCAAAAUGGACCAAAUCCUAAAGGUAAGACCUAAAACUAUAAGACUCUUAAAAGAAGGUAUAGGGGCAAGGCUUCAUGACAUUGGAUUUGGCAGUGAUGUCUUGAAUAGAACACUAAGAACACAGGCAAAAAAAAAAAGAAAAAGAAAAAAAAAUAGAUAAACCAGACUUGCAUCAACAUAAAAAAAAAAAAGCCCAUUUAUCAAAGGACACAAUUAACAGAGUGGAAGGCAACCUAUGGAAUUUUUUUUUUUUUUAAGAUUUUUCUUUAUUUAUUUGACAGAGAGAGACACAGUGAGAGAAGGAACACAAGCAGGGGGAGUGGGAGGGGGAGAAGCAGGAUCAACCUGUGGACUUUGAUAGAGCAGGCAGGCAGUGAGCUAGAUAUGAGCUGGAGAAAGGAUGGUGUACAGAGUGGUUUCAUGGUUUCCCCACCUUCCGGGGCCAAGAACAACAGGUGCAGGGCAUGCGCUCUCCUGUCUAGCCUGUGUCCUACAAUAACCUGUAGCUUCUUUAUCAUAUAUUUACACUGCCCUCUGGACACCCUCCCCCACCCCCACCCCCGCCCUCCACCCUGGGGGAAGACAGCCAGGACAGCUCCUGCAAGAACCUUGUAGGGCCGACAACUCCUCCUCCCAACCGGUAGGGGGAGUCUCUGAGAUGACAGGAAACAACCCCAGCUGUGAUCCAUAACCUAUACAAACAUAAAGAGACACCCCUAAGCCUGGGGCACUUGCCGUUUCUGGGCCUGUCCACUCUCCCAUCUUGCGAGGGUCCUGUCCUUGAGAAACUGCUUUGUGCCUACUUCCUUCCUUCUGGCCGUCUUUUUCGAGCAUGGGUCCUCACGGAAACCUUUCGUGGGGAAUCCAAGAACCGAGACCACCACAGCGCUAACCUCCCACCAGUAACAGAAUGAGAGAAAAUAACUUGCAAAUCAUGUAUCAGACAAGGGGUUAAUGACCAGAAUAUACAAAGAACUCCUACAACUAAGCAACAACAAAACCAAAUUUAAACCUGAUUUUAAAAUGGGCAAAAAGCUCUUGAAUAGACAUUUCGCCGAAGAAGACAUACAAAUGGCCAAUAACCACAUAAAAAGUAGCUCAACAUCACCAAUCAUCAGGGAGAUGCAAAUCAAAACUACAGUGAUAUACUCCCUCACACCAAUUAGAAUGGCUAGUAUCAAAGAAGCCCAGAAAACAACAACUGCUGGAGAGGAUGCGGAGAAUUUGGAACCUUGUGCAUUUUUGACAGGACGGUAAAAUGGAAAACGGUACUGUGGAAAACACUAUGGAAAACGGUAUUGUGAUUUUCCAAAUAUUGUACAUAAAAAUGCCAUAUGGUCUGGUAAUUUCACUUCUGAGUAUAUACCCUAAAGAAACGAAAGAAGGAACUGAAAGAGAUAUUUGUACACCCAUCUUCGUAGAAGAGAGCCAAAAUGUGGAAACAACCCAAAUGCCAUCAACGAAUUAAUGGAUAAGCACAAUAGAAUAUCAUUCAGGCUGCUGACCAUCCCGGGCAGCCUCUGUCCUCUGCCUGGGGGCUUUCCUGUGGUCACUUGCCUUUGCCCAUGGGUGGUGCCAGGUAGGGAGUGGGGAGCUGCACAGGGACUCUUGACAGAGCAGAGUCCUUCGAGGCCUCACGAAGGAGCACACAGGACAGAACAGGCACAUGGUAGGAACCCAUAAGUGUCUGUUGGAACAGGGGAUAGAAGUCAGGCUCCUUAUCCACCUCCUUAGCCAAAGCGGACUUCAGGUGUGGAUUUCCUGUGUUGUCUGUGCGUCCCAAUGUCGCCCCCUGGAGGUGAUGUCAGGGGCUGCACCAGGGAUGCCGACCAGGCUCCAAAGGAAGAGAGGGGCCCUAAGCCCUGGGCAGAGAUGGGCUGACCUUCAGGCUGAUGGGCUGGUCAGCCCUGAUCCUGGUCUCUGUGGGUCCCAGGCUUCUUGACUCCAUCCCAGUGCAGGGUAAGGCCCAGGAGAGGACAGUUGUUGCCCAGAAGAUUCCUGAUCCAACAUCAGAACGGUCUACCCAGGGGGAUGUGUUGCCUCUGGUGGUGCUCUCUGUUCCCAGACUUCCAAAGGAAGGGCCAAGGAAGGGUCUCUUUUGGCUUUUGGGAGAGGGCACGUCAGAAUGCCCUGCUCCCCCAUCACAGCACUGAGGCCUGUUGCAUUCAAGUUACAGCUGUCCGUCUCUUUGCUCUAGGCCUCCCCAUCAGGCCCAGGAGCUGGAGCAGCUCCACCUGGAGACUCAACCAGGGAGUCUGGCCUCCAUGGGACCCUCAGCCCCUCUGAGAUGGAAGCAAAUUCACAUCCUGGGUUCUCCUGUCCCAUCGUGCAUGGGAAGUUCCCCUCAUUCCCCAGGAUUCCUGGGGUGGUAAGAUGUCUUCAGGGGACCAUAGCCAGGUCCCCACAGACCAGAGACCCUAGGGAUGAGGAGUUACCUCCUGACUUCCUUUAAGGUCAGAGUGGGGCUCUGACCUCCUGAUGGUAACUCCACCUGGGGUCAAGAUCUACUUUGUGCCAGGUCAGAUCUCUGAGAGAAGAGGAAGGACACAGGCUGCCCACCCAGGAUCCCCAGGGAAAGGAGAAGUGGCUCACAAGGUAGAGAUGGAGUGGGGGAUGUCAUUCUGGGAAUGAAUGGGUAUCUGAUGCUCACUGUCAGGAGGCCUCUGUCCUCCCUCCUGAAUCUAGAAGGGGGAAGGACCCGUCUCUGGGACAGCCUUAGGCACGUGCUGGCCCCCUCCCAUGCUGAUGCCAGCGGCCUGGGUCUGCAGGGAACGGACUUUGACCGCCGGUGUUACACAUGGGUGACAUGCUUCUAUGGUGUGGUGGUCCUUAUGGAUUCCACAUGUGUUUAUUGAGCUUCUCUUGCUGGGUGCAGACAGGGACGCCUGGAUAUCUGACCUGGCUGCCGUCUCAUCCUCCGAGACAUUGUCACUGGAGCAGUGUCUGUUCAGAGUCCCCACUGGGCACAAGGAGAGCACCGCCCCAUUUCUCAUCAGGGGCUUUGUUGCAGAUGGCCUGCACCCCGGUUCCGCGUGCUGCUCUCCUGGCUGGUACCUUGACACAGCUUGUCUUCUGUCUUCCCAUUGCCUCAGCACAGUCUCCCUGGCACAGGGAUCCGGGCCCUCUCGGGUGCGUCCAUCCUCAUGUAACCUUCUUCGUGUGGGACAGAAGGGCUCGGUUAUAGGAUCGGGGCCGCCUCCUGGAGAAGCGCCUCCACACCGAGGUGACCCCCACGUGCUGGGACUCGCGUGUCCCAUCCUGCCGCAUCUUGGCGGGUGGUCACGGGGUCUGGGCAGAACCGGUGCGGGCUGGGCCCUGGAGCUCCAGCCUGCUGCCCGUAAGAGCUGAGUGUGGGUCGGUGCUUUCUGGAAGAGAUUCGGUUUCCUGAACUUCUCAAUCUAUGUCGGUGGACGUGGCCUGUGUCCAGGGGAUCGAGGCUCUGGUGAUGGCCCGGGUUGAGCCACAAGGGAGCCCCCGGGGGCCCCACACCUGCCAAUCAGCGACCCGCGCACUCGCAGGGAUAACCCGUGCCUCGACCCCGCUGAAUCCAGAGGUGGCUGGGUGCUUGGUGAGGGCACUGAAAAGGCCACUCCCUUAAGUGACGGAGCAUCAGAGGCUCCUGUGGUUCAGAGACGGGCCCAGGAUUGGAGGGCAGGGUGCUGUCAGCCCACAGGUGCUGGGAACCAGACCAACACUGGCCAGUCCACGACUAAACUCCAUUCUGUGGGGUGUAGAUUCAUACAUAAGGAAUGCUGCCAAGGUAUAUGAUUCUGAAGCUAGACACUCCUGUGAUAUAAUGUACUUUUUUUUUGAGAGGGAGUGAGCCUGGGACGUGAGGGGAAGUGGGAAGAGGCGGAGGGAGAGAGAGAAUCUUAAGCAAACUCCAUGCCCAUCGUGGAGCCCACUGGGGGCUCAAUCUCACCCCUGAGAUCAUGACCUGAGUCAAAAUCAAGAGUCCGCCCCUCACCCACAGGAGGCACCCAGGUGCCCCUAAUGUUCUUCUUGUUAUUUCUUCCAAAUGAUUAUAUGACUUUGCAAUCAUUGCUAAGAUGCCUCUCAAAUGGUGAGAACAUCAGAGAACACUGUCCAAUGACAUUGCAGAUAGAUUUGUGCUCAUGUAUGUUUUUGUAUCCUAAUGUCUACAGUUUUCCCUCAGCCGACUUGGCAGUAUAACCCAGUGGGUAUCCUUCUGAUGUAUGGUUACACUUUUUGCAAAACCAAUCUUCCAGCUGGUGAGCCAAGGUAGCCAUACAUUAAUCUCCCUUAAAUAUGCCUCCUUUGGAACCUGACUGUGCCCUUUGUCCAGGCUGAGCCCUACUGUCUCCCCUUCAGGGCCCUCUUUGCUCCUCCACCAGCAGGAACAAUCCACUAGAGGGCACUCACGCUCCUCCCUGAACCCUUCUUGUCCCCCUUUCCCAUCUCCUGAGACCAAUGCAAGUGUUUUCAUUGCCACAACCCCCAACCCUCAAAUACUCUUAAGAUUUGCUCAGAAGGAAGCUCUGGGGGGAAGAAAUCAGGGUCCCCAGAGAAGAACCUCACAAUGGAGGACAUAGCAGAAUGGACUGGGGACCUGGAACCAACCCCAGGUCCAAGGCAUUGGAGAGGGGAUGGUGCCAGGGACAGUGGGCAAUGUAGGCUGGACACUCAGGGCCAGAUGCCCCAGACCCAUGAGUGGGCCCUGGGGAAAAUGACUGUGAGCCUGUGUCCCUAAAGGCCCUGUCACUUAGGAUCUGUGCAUGUGGGCCUUGGUGGGGCUUCUGUGGAACAUUCCAGACUAGGCCUCCUGGGUAUUUCAAGAACCUUCUUACCUGGAAGAAUUGGGAGAGGGGUGUCAUUCACUGACAUGGCACAGGAUCUCUCCGGGCCUGAGGGAGCAGGUGGUGUUCAGGCUUUACCCCCAACUCCAGAUUAGGCCCCAAGACGUUAGGAGAGUUGAGGUCUUGCCUGGCCUGGCUCUGCAGGACACCACUGCUGGGCUGUCCAUGGGGAACCCGAACUCCCCACCCCUUGACUGCAGUGCAGGAAUGAGACCCCGAAGUCCCCUCAGACUUGGACAGUGAGGGAGCACAGGAGAGUUCGGGCAGGGGGGCUGAGGAGAGACCGUCAUUUCUGGAGGGAGGAGUGGUUAGGUGAUGGGCGCACACGUGGGACACAGCAGCGGCCACUGAUUCACUAACUGAGAGGUUUUCCUCUGGAGACUUCAGCCUUUUCCCUGCAAACAUUUGCUCACCCCACCUCCCCGCCCAGCGCUGCUUGCUGAGGUGCCUCAUUCCUGCUCACCAAGCCAAUCCUACAUCAGCUAGCUCUUUGUCCCCUUCACACCUGGGCAGCUCGCUGUGCCCAGCUGUCCCGACCUCCCGGGGCCUCAGAGCAGUCAUUGCCCCUCUGUCCCCACCAGUCUGGAGGCCGCGGGACCAGGCUCUCUGUCCUGAGUAUCAAUCAUCUGCCGGGAGGGGGCCGCUGCCGCACAAAGGAGAGGAUGCAGGAACAAUUGUUAGCUACUCUGCGAGCCCGCAAGUCCACCCAUGGGAGAGGAACCAGGAAAAUGACGGAACUGCCUGCUCAUUUCAACUGGGAUAGUGUUGCCCUGGGAAAUCCAUAGGGGAAUACACGGGUAUUUUCUUAUUUUCUAGGCACAGGCUUUUGAGUUUGGAAUGACGAGUUUUCCUUGGAUGUCGCCGUCAACCUCAGUCCCACCCAUCUGGGGCACAGACUGCAAAUUCCACACCCUAGUGCAGGUGUGGUAUUGGGGCCAAGACACUGGCAGCGCGGCCCAGGGGAGCCUCUCUGCACAGCUGCUACAGAGAUGUACUCUGUUCCUCCCAGGGUGUCAGCACCCAGCUCCACGGUCCCUGCCCCUCUCCCUGCAGGCCCCCACCCCUCAGGGACACCUGCCCCACGGGCAUCGUGUGCUCCCUCCCUCACUGCUGCUGCCUGUCUGGAGCUGUCCAGGAUCCUGUAGGUUCCCUGAGGUAUAGGGGUGUGUGUGUGUGUGUGUGUGUGUGUGUGUGUGUGUGAUAAGCCCCUGCGCACAUGCAAAAUCUGAGGUUGAAGGAAUUUGAGAUUCAUUCAAUAAAUACUUACUUUACAUUCAAGGAUUCGCAGUUAGGACUCCAUAUCAAGUAAGCGACAAUUUGUGUUGUAUUGAAUCCCUUUUCUUAAUCUUCCUGCCUACCCAGUGGUAGAGUGACCCAUCCACACCCUCUGCCCACCCCUUGCAGCUCCUCCCACUAAAAGGAGUGUGUUUAUCUGAGACUUGGCCGAAGGAACAUACACACCAGGGAUCUCCAUUUUCUUUCCUUUUUUUUAAAGAUUUUAUUUAUUUGUCAGAGAGAGAGAGCAAAAGCAGGGGGAGUGGCAGGCAGAGGGAGAGGGAGAAGCAGGCUCCCCGCUGAGCAGGGAGCCUGAUGUGGGACUCGAUCCCAGGACCCUGGGAUCAUGACCUGAGCCGAAGGCAGACGCUUAACGACUGAGCCACCCAGGCAUCCAAAGGAAUCUCCAGUCUCAAAAAGCAACCUAUGUCAUUCUCAAGAACACCGAGAAUCUGAGAAUGUUUCCCAAAAUAUAUAUAAUUGUAUUAUAUAUAAUAUAAAAUAUAUAUAAAUAUAUAUAAAAUCUAUAAUCUGUAUAAUUCCACAGAUUCCACCAGGAGGACAGAUCAUUGCCACAUUGUAGUUUACAGGAGAUUUGCAAGUCAGUCCUCCUUAUCCUAAUCUACAAAGCUAAAGCAAAGCAAACUAAGUGUCCCUCCAUGGAUGAAUGGAAAAAGAAAAUGUGAAGGAAAUCUUGUGACACCAUGGAUAGACCUUCAGAGCAAUAUGCUAAAUGAAAUAAGUCAGAGAAAGACAAAUACCAUAUGAUCUCACUUAUAUGUGGAUCACAAGAAGAGAAUUAAAAAAACCAAGUUCACAGAUACAGAGAAGAGACUGGUGGUUGCCAGAAGCAGAAUGGGAUGGGACUCCUAACAAAGGGUGAAGGUGUUCAACAGGUACGCACGUCCGGUUAUAAUAUAAAUAAGUCCUGGGGAAUGGAACACACAGCAUGGGGACUAGAGCUAACAACCCUGUAUUGCAUAUUUGAAAGUUGCUAAGAGAGUAGAUCUUAACAGUUCUUAUAACAAGAAAAAUAAACUUUGUAACGUGUGUGGGAACAGAUGUUAACUAGGCUUGCUGUGGUCACUUCUCAAUAUAUACAAACGUCGAAGAGUUACGUUGUACCAGAAACUAAUAUAACGUUGUGGGUCGAUUAUAUCACGAUUAAAAUAAGGAAACCAAAGUUCUCAAGUAAUUAUGGAAUCAGUUAUGUAGAGGUACCCAGAAUCCUAGAGACAAAAAGAUGACUUGUGGCUCUGAGCUCCCCUCAGAAUAUAGCAGAAAAGGAUCCUAGUCGAAGCUACAAUUCUCCAUCCUCCCACACUGGGGACUUCAGACAAGCGUGUGUCACAGACUGUUAUUCUUUUGGCACAGCUGGAUCUACAGCUCACAUACGGACCGAGUCCAUAAAGCUGUUGGAACACGCUGGGCAGAUGAUCCCAGCAGGGCUGGCACGGUGUCUAAAGACCUACACGGGGGGCGCCUGGGUGGCUCAAUUGGUUAAGCGACUGCUUUCCGCUCAGGUCGUCAUCCUGGAGUCCCGGGAUCGAGUCCCGCAUCGGGCUCCUGGCUCAGCGGAAAGCCUGCUUCUGCCUCUGAUCCUCCCCCCUCUCAUGUGCUCUCUCUCUCUCUCAAUCUCGCUCUCUCAAAUAAAUAAAUAAAUAAACCUUAAAAAGAAAAAAAAGAGCCACACGGAAGGUUCAUGACCCCACCACAAAAUUACAAGAAAGGGGAUCUACCCCCAGGAAUGAAAGGACAGGGAGACCCACCCUCUCUACUCGCACCCACCUCCCCUCAAACCUGGAGCGGCCAGUGCGCCUGAAGCCUGGGGGCCCAUCAUGCAGGGCUUUGGAGGCCACAUGAGGGACCCUGUGUCUCAUUCGAAGUGCAGUCGGACGUGUGUGAAGAGACUGUUUAUUCGUUGUUUGAUCUCUUUUCUAGAAGCGACAUGAUCUAUUUACAUGGCGUUAUUCUAGUGGUAUCGCUCUGCUUGCGCGCAGAGAAGACCCCAGAGAGAGGAGACGGUGGAAGCUGUCAUAGGCAGAAGUGACCCCCAAGGAUGUCCCCAGCGCCUGUGAAUACGUGACUGGACAAGGCAACGGGGAAUUAAGGUUGUUACCAGGCUGGCCUUUAAAUGGGGAGACGGCCUUGGGCGAUCCCUGUGGCUCUGUGUCAGGCUUCUGACCUACAAAACUCUAGGAUUAACACGUUGUGUUGUGUGAAGCCACCGCAGUUGUGGUCAUUUGUUACGGCAACAGGAGGAACCUCACGCCCUGCAAGGCUGGUUGGACCCUGCCCGGUCCACGGAGGGAAUGACAGUUUGGACUCGUGGUCACGGUGGAGGAGAAAGUGGUAGAGAAAUAGGAGAAAUGGCGGGGCAGGUGGGGGACAUGGAGAGGUGUGGGUGACAGAUUCCCCGUGGGGCAGGGGUACCAAAGACUCAAGAGUGACUCUCAUGAUUCUUGCUGCGGCCCCCACGUGGCGGGAAAGACCUUCAAGAGAAGGAGAUGUGUGCAGGCUGAGCCUGUGUGGAGACCGGAAGUGAAUGCUGGAAGUAUGUGUGCCGUUAAGGCGCUGAGAGGGGGCGCUGGGACGGGUUCGGCUUGAUCCCAGCUCGUGCGAGAGGCCAGAGAGGAGAGGUGGGGCCGUCCAUCCAGCAGGACACGAUCCUCACGGUGUCCACCGGGGCCUGGAGGUCCUCAGACCCGGUGGGGGUGGAUGUGGGUGGCGGUGGGACAGCUGACAGAGCACAGACGGGAGCGAGGUCCCUCCUCGAGCAGCAUCUCUGGGUCCCACAGCCUGCCGGUGGCCAGCAUGGCCCGGAUGCUGCAGCUGAAGACUCAGAGCGUCACUGGCCGGGUCCCUAUUGACCACCCGCAUCCUUUCUUCUUCCCUGUGUUCUGUGUUCAAGGGAAAUGACUCCAUGUCUGUACUUUACGGGCCGAGUAGAAUGAAGGGGAUCCAAACCACAUUUUGUCCUCUCUUCCUUUCCUCAUGGAGCUUGAAGAGACUACAAAAAAGAAAGAAAGGAAAGAAAGAAAGGAAAGAAAGAAAGAAAGAAAGAAAGAAAGAAAGAAAGAAAGAAAGAAAGAAAGAAAGAAAAAAGAAAGAAAAAAGAAAGAAAGAAAGAGAAGAAAAGAAAAUACAAAUCAAAAUCCACCAUCACCAGGGUACCGGCAGAAGCAAACACCCCUUCAGUCGAAAGACUCAUCCCCCCUUCUCCCCUCAGACACCACAUGUCCUCACAGGACCAGGAACAAGAGUGCGAACCACUGACAUCUGUGUGGGGUGACAUCAGGUGUCCCUGGUGACCAGCAAACCAGAAAAACUUGUUGGGCUCACAUUUCCAACACAACAGACUUCCGGGGCACCUACCUGACUCUGUGAGUCCACAUGUACGACGUGCUUUCAGAUAUAUGGCUUGGGUCAUACCCAGAGAGUCUGGAAGAAUCAUCUGGACGAAAGGGUCACGUUGGCAAUGGACCAUCAGCUGCCUGUUUUCCGACGAUGACACUCAACUUGUCGCUUCUGAAACAAAGUUUAAAGGCACAGGCUUUUGAGUUUGGAAUGACGAGUUUUCCUUGGAUGUCGCCGUCAACCUCAGUCCCACCCAUCUGGGGCACAGACUGCAAAUUCCACACCCUAGUGCAGAUUCCACCAGGAGGACAGAUCAUUGCCACAUUGUAGUUUACAGGAGAUUUGCAAGUCAGUCCUCCUUAUCCUAAUCUACAAAGCUAAAGCAAAGCAAACUAAGUGUCCCUCCAUGGAUGAAUGGAAAAAGAAAAUGUGGUAUGUAUGUAAAAUGGAAUGUUAUUCACCUAUGUUUUUUAUUUUUUUAAAAGAUUUGAGAGAGAGAGAGUACAAGCAGGGAGAGCGGCAGGCAGAGAUAGAAACAGACUUCCCAAUGAGCAGGGAGCCAGAUGCGGGGCUCGAUACCAGGACUCUGGGAUCAUGACUCCAGCCCAAAGCAGCCGCUUAACCGACUGAGCCACCCAGGUGCCCUGGAAUUUUAUUGAGCUCUUAAAAAGAAGGAGAUUUGGGGGCACCUGGGUGGCUCAGUUGUUUAGGCGCCCGACUCUUGAUUUUGGCUCAGGUUGUGAUCUCGGGGUCUUGAAAUGGAGCCCCGCAUCGGGCUCUGUGCUCGGCUCAGAAUGGGCUUGAAAUUCUCUUUCUGUCUCUCCCUGUGUUCCUCCCCUUGCUCACACGCUCUCUCUAGAUAGAUAGAUAAAUAAAUAAAUAAAUAAAUAAAUAAAUAAAUAAAUAAAUAAAAUCUAUUUUUUUUUUAAGAAGGAAAUCUUGUGACACCAUGGAUAGACCUUCAGAGCAAUAUGCUAAAUGAAAUAAGUCAGAGAAAGACAAAUACCAUAUGAUCUCACUUAUAUGUGGAUCACAAGAAGAAAAUUAAAAAAACCAAGUUCACAGAUACAGAGAAGAGACCGGUUGUUGCCAGAAGCAGAAUGGGAUGGGACUCCUAACAAAGGGUGAAGGUGUUCAACAGGUACGCACGUCCGGUUAUAAUAUAAAUAAGUCCUGGGGAAUGGAACACACAGCAUGGGGACUAGAGCUAACAACCCUGUAUUGCAUAUUUGAAAGUUCCUAAGAGAGUAGAUCUUAACAGUUCUUAUCAAAAGAAAAAUAAAUUUUGUAACGUGUGUGGGAACAGAUGUUAACUAGGCUUGCUGUGGUCACUUCUCAAUAUAUACAAACGUCGAAGAGUUACGUUGUACCAGAAACUAAUAUAACGUUGUGGGUCGAUUAUAUCACGAUUAAAAUAAGGAAACCAAAGUUCUCAAGUAAUUAUGGAAUCAGUUAUGUAGAGGUACCCAGAAUCCUAGAGACAAAAAGAUGACUUGUGGCUCUGAGCUCCCCUCAGAAUAUAGCAGAAAAGCAUCCUAGUCGAAGCUACAAUUCUCCAUCCUCCCACACUGGGGACUUCAGACAAGCGUGUGUCACACGCUGGCACGGUGUCUAAAGAGCUACACGGGGGGUGCCUGGGUGGCUCAGUUGGUUAAGCGAUGCUUUCCGCUCAGGUGGUGAUCCUGGAGUCCCGGGAUCGAGUCCCGCAUCGGGCUCCUGGCUCAGCGGAAAGCCUGCUUCUGCCUCUGAUCCUCCCCCCUCUCAUGUGCUCUCUCUCUCUCUCAAUCUCGCUCUCUCAAAUAAAUAAAUAAAUAAAUAAACCUUAAAAAGAAAAAAAAGAGCCACACGGAAGGUUCAUGACCCCACCACACAAUUACAAGAAAGGGGAUCUACCCCCAGGAAUGAAAGGACAGGGACACCCACCCUCUCUACUCGCACCCACCUCCCCUCAAACCUGGAGCGGCCAGUGCGCCUGAAGCCUGGGGGCCCAUCAUGCAGGGCUUUGGAGGCCACAUGAGGGACCCUGUGUCUCAUUCGAAGUGCAGUCGGACGUGUGUGAAGAGACUGUUUAUUCGUUGUUUGAUCUCUUUUCUAGAAGCGACAUGAUCUAUUUACAUGGCGUUAUUCUAGUGGUAUCGCUCUGCUUGCGCGCAGAGAAGACCCCAGAGAGAGGAGACGGUGGAAGCUGUCAUAGGCAGAAGUGACCCCCAAGGAUGUCCACACCCUGCUCCCCAGCGCCUGUGAAUACGUGACUGGACAAGGCAACGGGGAAUUAAGGUUGUUACCAGGCUGGCCUUUAAAUGGGGAGACGGCCUUGGGCGAUCCCUGUGGCUCUGUGUCAGGCUUCGGACCUACAAAACUCUAGGAUUAACACGUUGUGUUGUGUGAAGCCACCGCGGUUGUGGUCAUUUGUUACGGCAACAGGAGGAACCUCACGCCCUGCAAGGCUGGUUGGACCCUGCCCGGUCCACGGAGGGAAUGACAGUUUGGACUCGUGGUCACGGUGGAGGAGAAAGUGGUAGAGAAAUAGGAGAAAUGGCGGGGCAGGUGGGGGACCUGGAGAGGUGUGGGUGACAGAUUCCCCGUGGGGCAGGGGGACCAAAGACUCAAGAGUGACUCUCAUGAUUCUUGCUGCGGCCCCCACGUGGCGGGAAAGACCUUCAAGAGAAGGAGAUGUGUGCAGGCUGAGCCUGUGUGGAGACGGGAAGUGAAUGCUGGAAGUAUGUGUGCAGUUAAGGCGCUGAGAGGGGGCGCUGGGACGGGUUCGGCUUGAUCCCAGCUCGUGCGAGAGGCCAGAGAGGAGAGGUGGGGCCGUCCAUCCAGCAGGACACGAUCCUCACGGUGUCCACCGGGGCCUGGAGGUCCUCAGACCCGGUGGGGGUGGAUGUGGGUGGCGGUGGGACAGCUGACAGAGCACAGACGGCAGCGAGGUCCCUCCUCGAGCAGCAUCUCUGGGUCCCACAGCCUGCCGGUGGCCAGCAUGGCCCGGAUGCUGCAGCUGAAGACUCAGAGCGUCACUGGCCGGGUCCCUAUUCACCGCCCGCAUCCUUUCUUCUUCCCUGUGUUCUGUGUUCAAGGGAAAUGACUCCAUGUCUGUACUUUACGGGCCGAGUAGAAUGAAGGGGAUCCAAACCACAUUUUGUCCUCUCUUCCUUUCCUCAUGGAGCUUGAAGAGACUACAAAAAAGAAAGAAAGAAAAGAAAGAAAGAAAGAAAGAAAGAAAGAAAGAAAGGAAGGAAGGAAGGAAGGAAGGAAGGAAGGAAGGAAGGAAGGAAGGAAGGAAGGAAGGAAAGGAAAGGAAAGGAAAGGAAAGGAAAGGAAGGAAGGAAGGAAGGAAGGAAGGAAGGAAGGAAGGAAGGAAGGAAGAAAGAAAGAAAGGAAGAAAGAAGAAAGAAAGAAAGAAAGAAAGAAAGAAAGAAAGAAAGAAAGAAAGAAAGAAAGAAAGAAAGAAAGAAAGAAAAGGAAGAAAAGAAAAUACAAAUCAAAAUCCACCAUCACCAAGGUACCGGCAGAAGCAAACACCCCUUCAGUCGAAAGACUCAUCCCCCCUUCUCCCCUCAGACACCACAUGUCCUCACAGGACCAGGAACAAGAGUGCGAACCACUGACAUCUGUGUGGGGUGACAUCAGGUGUCCCUGGUGACCAGCAAACCAGAAAAACUUGCUGGGCUCACAUUUCCAACACAACAGACUUCCGGGGCACCUACCUGACUCUGUGAGUCCACAUGUACGAUGUGCUUUCAGAUAUAUGGCUUGGGUCAUACCCAGAGAGUCUCGAAGAAUCAUCUGGACGAAAGGGUCACGUUGGCAAUGGACCAUCAGCUGCCUGUUUUCCGACGAUGACACUCAACUUGUCGCUUCUGAAACAAAGUUUAAAGGUUUGGAUUUUCCUCUCAACUAAUUCAUCUGAACAGUGUAAGGGUGUAUGAAUUGUCCUGUUUCCCCCACCAUGGGUGACUAUGAGGAACAUCCACUGUACUUCUUCACCCAGAACUCUCAUUUUUGAUCAAAAUUAUCGUUACUCCUGUAGUUUCUUACAGCCCCUGCUAUCUUUGAAAGUAUCCCCACUGAUGGGUUUCUGAUAGUCCAGCACUCAGAACUGCCAGGACAAAGUUUACAGACCACAGAAUGUUGGAAAGGCAUCCAUCAAGCCCCACGUGUCCCCGCACACACUUGAAAAGUACAUCAAGUGGGACACCUGGUGGCUCAGUCAGUUAAGUAUCUGACUCUUGAUUUAGGUUCAGGUCAUGAUCUCACGGUCAUGGGAUCCAGCCCCACAUCAGGUUCCACGCACAGCGGGAAGUCUGCUUUGGAUUCUCUCCCUCUCCAUCUGCCCCUUCACACCCCACCUCACUAGCUUGCGUGAGCCCUCUCUCUAAAAUAAACUAAAAAAUAAAAUAAAAUAAAAUAAAAUAAAAUAAAAUCAGAUAAAAUAUAAUAAAAUAAAAGGAAGAAAAGUACAUCCAGAAUGUAACCCACCCUGCUCUUUCUGAAGCUUCUGGCUUGUUCAACACAAAAGGGAUAGUGGUUCCAGUUUGUGAUCUGGGAAACGGAGUUAGUAUUUUCGGGGAAAACACUGGGGGAAAAAAUAACUCAAGAGCUUCCUUUUGGACAUAAAAUAUUGAAAUGCCUAUUAGACAGCUAAGCCCUCUGGACACUUGUUCUGUGGGGUCCUUACUAGCCCUGCCACUAAAGAUGGACUAAUUUCUUUCAGUCUCCCCCACCUGUUAUUUCCCCAGUCUUUUGGUUCAUCCUAAAUACCAUCUCCUCACUUGUCUUAAUAUUUUCCAAAUUCUUGAACCUUUACAAGCCCCUCAGGGAUUCCCUUAUAACCACAUAGCCCCUGUUAAUGCACUUUCUUCUAAUCCUCAUCAACCAUAUUAUAAUUACUCAUUUUCAAUGUUACCGAAAAAAUUAUUCUGACACUCGUUAAGGAUGGUCAGGCACACUUUAUUGAGGCAGACUACUACAGUGCGUUUGCAGUGGGGGACACAGAUUGGACCCCACUCCAAAUCAACAAGAAGAGUGCGGAUUUAUAGCCAAGAGACAGGGUGGGGCAGUCAGUGGAUGGAAAGUUACCAGGAGGUAGAGUAAUUCUUGCUAAGCUCACUAAGGGCUUUCACUGAAGACAGGCUGGAGAGAUCACAUACUACCUAGGGGAUGCUGGGACGUGAAGAAUUUGGUCAGAUAUCGAGGGUGGGGGAUUCUGGCUCAGCUAAUUAGUAGGUUUCUUCUCAAACUGGACCUGAAGCAUAUGGUCAGGCCUAGUCAAGGAGAAGGCUCAGAGAACCUGACUAAAGUCUGGCCAGGAGAGAAUCUUUGCUGUAAGUUUCCCUCUACCCUGCACCAUUCACCACUAAACCAAGGUGUUCACAGAGACAGAGAGAGAGAAACAGAGAAAGGAUCAAUUGAGGGGCACCUGGAUGAUACAGUUGGUAAAGCACCCGACUUUUGGUUUUGCCUCAGGUUGUGAUCUCAGGGUUGUGAGAUCGAGCCCUGUGUUGGGCUCCCCGCUCAACAUGCAGUCUGCUGGAGGUUCUCUCUCCCUCUGUCCCUCCCUCCCUCCCUGUCUCUCUCUCAUAUAAAUAAGUCUUUAAAAAAAGAGAAAGAAAUCAAUUGAUAUAUUGAUAAAAAUCUUUAAGGACUUACUAGGGAGAUAUAAGAGAGAUUGUAAACUUUAUUGGAGAUUACCACAAAAGCUAGGCCAAUAUAUUUUCAAUUAUGGAUUAAUGAACAAUUAUCUAGAUAAAUGUAAAUCACCAAAACUGACCUCAGAAAAAAAUGGAUAAUAUGAGCAGAGCAAUAACCAUUAAAGAAAUUAAAAUGAGAGCCACUAAUUACCCUCUACCAAAAAAAUAGUACCAGGCCCCCAUUGUCUUUAUGGAUGAACUUUAACAAAUCUUCAAAUUAAAGAUAAUUCUCAACAAACUCCUCCAGAGAAUAAAAAGUGGUAAAAGGAGAUCACUUCCUAACUAGUUUAUGAGACUAGAAAACCAGGCAAGAACAUUACAGACCAAUUUCACUUACCAAUACAAAUACAAAAUCAAAGGAAACAUUAGGAAACCAAAUGCAGAAUUAAUCAUGUCAAAAAAGCAAAUAGACAGAAAAGUUAUGAACAAGUAGGAUUUCUAUCAGGAUUGCAAGUGUGUUUUUAAAAAUAAGUGGGGGAGGGAGCACCUGGGCAUCUCAGUUGGUUAAGCAUCCGACGCUUGAUUUCAGCUCAGACCGUGAUCUCAGGGUCGUGAGAUCGAGCCCCACUUUGGGCUCCAAACUGGGUGUGAAGCUUCCUUCAGAUUCUCUCUCUUUCCCUCUGCCCCUUCCUGCCCCACUUGCACUCACUCUCUCUCUCUCUCUGAAAAGAAAAAAAAGGAAUGCAAGUGUGUUUCAGUAUCAGAAAGUAACUCUCCAUGACAACAGACUAAAGGAGAAAAAUACUUAUCUCAAUAGAUUUAGUAAAAUUAUUUGAUAAAAUUCAACCCUAAUUCUAAAAAAAAAAAAAUCCUUUGACUCUGGGAGGACACUAGGAAAGGAACACAUUCACAUCCUCCUACAGCUGCCUGAAGAGUACAGUAAUUCCUAUAUGUCACUGACGUAGUGCCUGGCACCCAUUAGAGGCACUAAACAAAUGUGCGCAACUCCCCAAGCACUUCUCUCUCACACAUUCCAUCUUUGCUCCCUGAUUUAUGGUUGAUUUCCUCAGUUGUAGCUUCCAGGUCAUCUGGUAGAUUUUUCAGCAGCGACAUUCCAGUUAUUCAGCAAUUACACUCAAUUUUUUGUGUGUUUAUUUGUUUUUUUAAUUUCUGGGAAGUCUUUCUUCUUCUGCCGGCAGCCUUUCCAUGGGAGUUCAUCAGACAUCUCCUUGAAUCCCUGAUGGUCAGAAGACGUUGAGAAGUUUCCUUCUGAACUAGUACACGAUGUUUCUAGCAGUCAUGGGUUCCAUUUGUACAUCGGGCGAUUGCUCCCCGACCUCACUCCACUGGCUCUCCUCAGAUGUGUGUGCACUGGCCACCAGUUUUCUCCUUCUUUGCCCUGUUUUCCUAUUUCCUUAUGGAUUUUUCUCAAAUGUGUUAUAUGCUUUGGUUGUAAAGUACAUAUUUACUAGGACUCGGUUGAUUAUCCUGGGCGUAUGAUAAAGGUUUGCUCUGUAUUUGUAUGAGUCCAUACUGAAGCCUUUUCUUCUUAAAUUGACAGCAAAAACUUUAAAACUUUUUCUUGUUUUCAUAUUGCAUACUGGAGAUAUUAAAAAUAAUUGCUUAUGGCAUCUGUGGUGGCAUGGAGAGCAAAAAUAAAAAAACAAAAAACAAAAAAACCAAACACCUUACUAUGUGUCUUCACUCAGCUUAAGGAAGAAGAGAAUCAGCACCCCACAGCCCUGUGUGUUCCUGGCCAGCCCCACUCCCAACCCACCCCACCCCCAGCUGCAUUAUACAAGAUAUUCCUCUACCGUUAUAGUUCUUUUUUAACCACACAUAGCUACUCAUGCAUUUCUUUCUUUCUGAAUCAGUCUGGUCCAUUUUUGUAGGUAAUCACUGAACAAAUUAUUCAGAUUUUGCAAUCAGAAUGUUCAUGAUCUACUUCAAGGCCAUCCUCCUUUUUCCCUUUUCCACUCCUAACGUUGCUUCUUGUGCCUUGUCUCAUUUUUUCCAAUCACAUGGUCAGAAAUUUAUUUUGAAAGAGCCACCCCUCUAGAUUUUUGUGUUUCUUGCUCAUCUCUUAUGUUCUUUCUCCUUUGAGUUUGUUCCUUUUCUUACUUCCACAAGUGGAUAAUUAGCUCAUAAAUAACCAUUCUUUCAUUCUUUUCUAUGUUAAGCAUCUUAGCAUUUUAAAUUUGCCCACAAGCUGGCCUCAGUUGCAUCCUGUGUGUUCUACAGAAAGUUUUGUUUUGUUUUGGUUUGGUUUGGUUUAAAAUAGGCUCCAUGGCCAGUGUGGAGCCCAAUGAGGGGCUGAACUCAAGAGAUCAAGACCUCAGCUGGGAUCAAGAGUCGCUUAACCAACUGAGCCACCCAGGCGCCCCUACAGAAAGUAUUUUUACAGUUAAUUAUACAUAAUGUGAAAUUGCCAUUAUCGUUCUUUGUUCAAGCACAAGUUUUUUAAAAGAUGGUUUCCAUGAAGAUGGUGAUUUUCACUUCAUAGCACAGUGUUCACAGAGCAUUCCAUCUAUGAAUAUUUACUGAAAUUUGCUCUUUGGUCUAGUAUGUGGCAAAUAUUCAUAAAAUUGCCAUGUGUGCUUGAAAAAAUGUAUUGCAACAUUUUAUAGAGAGAGAGGCCAGCUUCUUGCACUGCUCCAAUAUUCUAUAUCCUUCCUGAUUAGUUUGCUCUCUGAUUACUGAGAGACAUAGGCUCAAAUCUACCAAAAGAGUAAUGAGUAGCCAUAUGAACCAACAAAUUGAGUUACUAUUUUGGAACCUAGAUCAAUUGGUAGGAGAGAUUUUUAAACAUUCAGAGUCCAUUUUAAUCUUACCCCUACUCCUACAGAAAAGAGAAAGAGAGAACACAUCCCCAGCUCUUACUGUGGGGCUAGAAAUACCUUGACCCCCAAACCAGAAAAAAUACAGAAAUGAAAAGAAUAGGCCAAAGUCAGCAUUACAAACAUCCUACAGGAAUAGGAGACACAAUGCUGCAGUGAAUGAAAAAGAUAAUGUGCAUGAAAUGUAGGGUUUAUUCCAGGAAUAUAGUUAGUUUAACAGUAGAAAAUCAAAGCAAUUCACAGCAUUAAUGGUUUAAGGAGGGAAGCCAUGUGCUUUUUUUCGACAGAUGCAUUAAAAAAACAACCUCUACCUAAAAUUCAGCCUCAGGAUCAAAUUGUCCCGGUGACUACUCUCCUCCCAUACACAAUCCCCGGGUCCUAGAGGAAAGGGAGCCCCACUGGCGGGUGGGACAACUGCAAGGUUCCUGUCCACACAGAGCUGACAUUUACAGAAUCCGCGCGGCACCAAGAGCCAAACGGUAAACUCGGGGCUCUCGCUGAGCCAGCAGGAGACACAAGCCUCGAGUCGUGAGCAGUGACACUGCGCUUCUGCGACCCCGCUGCAACGUCGGCGGGCUGCUGGGACACGUCCGACGAGCUGAUUGGCCAGGAGCCCUCCCUGCGUGGGAGAACGUGAUGACGCAGCAUGACGCCUCACGGCAGAGACUAUAAAAGGCCGGACCUCGGGGCUUGAUCGUCUUUUCUGCGACCGGAGCGGACAAACAUUACUGGAGAACCAAUGGAAGUUCACGGAUUGUUUAAAAAAGAUGUGCUGGCGUCUGUUGAAGAAGACCCUUAUUUAUGUCCUGAGCAAUCUUGCUUCCCUCAUACACAACCUGAAGGUCCGAGAAGUCUUCCUAAAUAUGCCAUGUUAUUCUCGACACAGGAGGAGGUUUGCUGAACCCACAGAGAGAGAGACACAGCGAGAGAGGGAACACCAGCAGGGGAGUAGGGGAGGGAGAAGCAGGCGUCCCGCGGAGCAGGGAGCCCGAUUCGGGGCUCGAUCCCAGGACCCUGGGAGCAUGACCUGAGCUGAAGGCAGACGCUUAACGACUGAUCUACCCAGGCGCCCCACCGAUCAUCUUUCUUUCAGAAGAACUUCCACAAGCCUGCGGGUUUACCUUCAUCCACUGUAUCUCCUCCCCCGCUCAGAGCACAUUUACGGUUCCUCUUGAAUCUGUGUCUCCCAGAUUUCAAAAGAAGUUUUGUUUCGCUUUGCAGCCUCAGUUCUUUCUUUUUUGACACAAAGGAGCAAAUAAACUUCUUACCAACAAA